GAUGAACGCUGGCGGCGUGCCUAAUACAUGCAAGUCGAGCGAACGGACGAGAAGCUUGCUUCUCUGAUGUUAGCGGCGGACGGGUGAGUAACACGUGGAUAACCUACCUAUAAGACUGGGAUAACUUCGGGAAACCGGAGCUAAUACCGGAUAAUAUUUUGAACCGCAUGGUUCAAAAGUGAAAGACGGUCUUGCUGUCACCUAUAGAUGGAUCCGCGCUGCAUUAGCUAGCUGGUAAGGUAACGGCUGACCAAGGCAACGAUGCCUAGCCGACCUGAGAGGGUGAUCGGCCACACUGGAACUGAGACACGGUCCAGACUCCUACGGGAGGCAGCAGUAGGGAAUCUUCCGCAAUGGGCGAAAGCCUGACGGAGCAACGCCGCGUGAGUGAUGAAGGUCUUCGGAUCGUAAAACUCUGUUAUUAGGGAAGAACAUAUGUGUAAGUAACUGUGCACAUCUUGACGGUACCUAAUCAGAAAGCCACGGCUAACUACGUG
rnacentral:rRNA from 1 species